GCCUCGUGGCACAUAAGACCUCAACAUGCGUUAUAUAAGCAAACCAAUUUGYACUUAUUUUAUUUGAGUUAACGCAGUGCUUUGACAAAACAAAAUGGCAUUCAAAACCAUAAUCACUUUGACUCUUGCUUUCGCUAUAUUUUUUGAAACUGCCUCGGCUGGAUUGCUGAGUGUGUUAGACCAUGUUCGACAAACCAGAAGCAAUCAAAAACCGAAGAACAGGACAUACAAAAUGAAACAGACAAAGAGGAGCGAUACGCAAGACGCAAAGAGCUUACAUGAACUCUGUGGACUUUGCGAGCAAGGAUAUGUACUUAACUGAUCCGUUACAGUAUUGAUUAUAACAAAAUAAAAAAAUCCGUAUACAAA